GAAACCCAGUGCAAUUCGUUGCACUAUCGUUAACUGAAUACAUAGGUUAACGAGGCGAACCGGGGGAACUGAAACAUCUAAGUACCCCGAGGAAAAGAAAUCAACCGAGAUUCCCCCAGUAGCGGCGAGCGAACGGGGAGCAGCCCAGAGUCUGAAUCAGCUUGUGUGUUAGUGGAACGGUCUGGAAAGUCCGACGGUACAGGGUGAUAGUCCCGUACACCAAAAUGCACAGGUUGUGAACUCGAAGAGUAGGGCGGGACACGUGGUAUCCUGUCUGAAUAUGGGGGGACCAUCCUCCAAGGCUAAAUACUCCUGACUGACCGAUAGUGAACCAGUACCGUGAGGGAAAGGCGAAAAGAACCCCGGCGAGGGGAGUGAAAAAGAACCUGAAACCGUGU
rnacentral:rRNA from 1 species